GCUAACGUGCCCAAAGGCGCUCACUGCGUUUCCUUCGGCGCGUUCCCGAUAGGCGUCACUCGGAUCAAAAGUCAAGCAUGUGCUUCGACUUAAGUUGCAUCUCUGCAUACGGGGGUAAAUAAACGUUUCAGCAGACAAUUCUUGGCCAAUCCCCCAGUGUGGGUAUCAGCCAUAAUAUGAGCCCAUCAUCAUCAGUUCAUCUCCCCCUAGAAAGCAGCAAACGAAAGAGGUUCACGUAGACCAAGAAAUUGAUAUAGCUGAGUACAGCACUCCGACGCGCCCGGCGUCAAGCAACGCUCACCUGCGUGCCGACACCAAAGAAAGCGUCUCCAAUGCCCUGGGACGUGAGUCGCAGCACAAGAAGAAGACGUUGCAUCAUGUUCAAGUUCCUGAGGCAGCUCGCCCUCUUCCUCUGGCAAAUCGCCGUAGGCGUCUUUAUGGUGCCGCUUCUAUGCGGCCUUGCGGCUUUUCAUCUGAUUGGAGCAGGAAUAAUGCUCGGCAUAGCUAUUGUCACCAGCAUGCUGGCUGGAGUCAUUUUGUUUUUCGCGUCGACAGCAAUGCCGAUGGCCAUACACUGUGGAACCGCCGCUGGGACCAUCCGUCCGGAAGUUCUACGGAGCCAGACGUUGACGAUGAUCCGUUUUUCCGAACAUGCCUUUACCCUCACGACAACAGUCUUUAACCUCUGUGCGGAUUAUGGAGAAGCUGUCAAGCGGUUCCUCUACUUGGCUUCAGAGGCCAUUGUCACCACAUGGAGAACGAUUCGACGAGAUGUCACUGACGAACAAAAUCCACCGGAGGAAUAAAAUUGAGAUGGCA